UUCGCAAUGCCCGAAAGGGUGACGAAGCGACGCCGCGUGGGUGAAGAAGGCCUUCGGGUUGUAAAGCCCUGUCAGGAGUUAUGAAAUAUAAGUGCGCUAAUAUCGUGCUUAUUUGACAAAGGCUCCAAAGGAAGCCACGGCUAACUCUGUGCCAGCAGCCGCGGUAAUACAGAGGUGGCGAGCGUUGUUCGGUAUUAUUGGGCGUAAAGAGCACGUAGGUGGGUUUGUAAGUCAGAUGUGAAAGCCUUCUGUUCAACGGAAGAAUUGCAUCUGAAACUGCGAGUCCUGAGUAUAGGAGGGGAGAAUGGAACUUCUGGUGGAGCGGUGAAAUGCGUAGAUAUCAGAAGGAACGCCGGCGGCGAAAGCGAUUCUCUGGCCUAUUACUGACACUCAGUGUGCGAAAGCUAGGGGAGCAAACGGGAUUAGAUACCCCGGUAGUCCUAACCGUAAACGAUGGGCACUAAGUAGAGGGGUUUU
rnacentral:rRNA from 2 species